rnacentral:rRNA from 1 species
GCGGGAGUAGCAAUACUCUAGCGGCGAACNGGUGAGGAAUGCUUGGGAAUCUGCCUAGUAGUGGGGGAUAACGUUAGGAAACGGACGCUAAUACCGCAUACGUCUACGGGNNNNNNGGGGGGAUCUUCGGACCUCUCGCUAUUAGAUGAGCCCAAGCGGAUUAGCUAGUUGGUGAGGUAAUGGCUCACCAAGGCAACGAUCCAUAGCUGGUCUGAGAGGAUGAUCAGCCACACUGGAACUGAGACACGGUCCAGACUCCUACGGGAGGCAGCAGUGGGGNAUAUUGGACAAUGGGCGAAAGCCUGAUCCAGCCAUGCCGCGUGUGUGAAGAAGGCCUUAGGGUUGUAAAGCACUUUAAGCGAGGAGGAAGGUUCGUCACCUAAUACGUGGCGGAAUUGACGUUACUGC